rnacentral:siRNA from 1 species
UGGUUAUGACGGCAAUCGCCUUCA